AUUCAGCUGAUGAGUCCCAAAUAGGACGAAACAUGCGUCUUGGAU
rfam:Schistosoma mattheei strain Denwood, Zambia genome assembly, scaffold: SMTD_scaffold0011555